rnacentral:rRNA from 1 species
GUUGUAUAGUCAAGUAAUUAAGUGCAUGUGGUGGAUGCCUUGGCAGUCAGAGGCGAAGAAAGACGUGAUAGCCUGCGAAAAGCUCCGGGGAGGCGGCAAAUAUCCUGUGAUCCGGAGAUGUCUGAAUGGGGAAACCCACUUACCAUAAGGUAGGUAUUGCAACAUGAAUACAUAGUGUUGCAAGGCGAACGAGGGGAAGUGAAACAUCUCAGUACCCUUAGGAAAAGAAAUCAAUUGAGAUUCCCUCAGUAGCGGCGAGCGAAAGGGGAAGAGCCCAUUAAGUCAUAUAAGUUCUAGUGGAACGCUCUGGGAAGUGCGACCGUAGACGGUGAUAGUCCUGUACACGAAAGGGCUUAUAUGAUGAUGUCGAGUAGGGCGAGGCACGUGAAACC